GAUGAACGCUGGCGGCGUGCCUAAUACAUGCAAGUCGAGCGAACAGAUAAGGAGCUUGCUCCUUUGACGUUAGCGGCGGACGGGUGAGUAACACGUGGGUAACCUACUUAUAAGACUGGGAUAACUUCGGGAAACCGGAGCUAAUACCGGAUAAUAUUUCGAACCGCAUGGUUCGAUAGUGAAAGAUGGUUUUGCUAUCACUUAUAGAUGGACCCGCGCCGUAUUAGCUAGUUGGUAAGGUAACGGCUUACCAAGGCGACGAUACGUAGCCGACCUGAGAGGGUGAUCGGCCACACUGGAACUGAGACACGGUCCAGACUCCUACGGGAGGCAGCAGUAGGGAAUCUUCCGCAAUGGGCGAAAGCCUGACGGAGCAACGCCGCGUGAGUGAUGAAGGUCUUCGGAUCGUAAAACUCUGUUAUUAGGGAAGAACAUACGUGUAAGUAACUGUGCACGUCUUGACGGUACCUAAUCAGAAAGCCACGGCUAACUACGUG
rnacentral:rRNA from 1 species